rfam:Bacillus thuringiensis serovar israelensis ATCC 35646 sq1672, whole genome shotgun sequence.
UAAUACCUUUUGCUGAGUCCAAAUUUUGGAGCGGGGGAACCAAUUUUGUAGCUAUGCUACUUGGGGCGAAUCUUUUUUUAAGUAGGGAAACUCUCACUUCCCGAGUCCGACAGCUAACCUCGUAAGCGUAAUGGGAGAGGAAGG